UACGGAGGGAGCAAGCGUUGUUCGGAUUUACUGGGCGUAAAGGGCGCGUAGGCGGCGCAACAAGUCACUUGUGAAAUCUCCGGGCUUAACUCGGAAAGGUCAAGUGAUACUGUUGUGCUAGAGUGCGGAAGGGGCAACUGGAAUUCUCGGUGUAGCGGUGAAAUGCGUAGAUAUCGAGAGGAACACCUGCGGCGAAGGCGGGUUGCUGGGCCGACACUGACGCUGAUGCGCGAAAGCCAGGGGAGCGAACGGG
rnacentral:rRNA from 1 species